UAAGUGAUCAUCACUCAGGAGGAGCUCCGUCGGACCCACCAAGCCCUUUGUGAACUCAUACCUAUUGUUGCCUCGGCGAAGGCCGGCCUCUUCUGAGGCCCCCCGGAGACGGGGAGCAGCCCGCCGGCGGCCAACCAAACUCUUGUUUCUUAGUGAAUCUCUGAGUAAAAAACAUAAAUGAAUCAAAACUUUCAACAACGGAUCUCUUGGUUCUGGCAUCGAUGAAGAACGCAGCGAAAUGCGAUAAGUAAUGUGAAUUGCAGAAUUCAGUGAAUCAUCGAAUCUUUGAACGCACAUUGCGCCCUCUGGUAUUCCGGAGGGCAUGCCUGUUCGAGCGUCAUUUCAACCCUCAAGCCUGGCUUGGUGUUGGGGCACUGCUUUGUCUCCAAAGCAGGCCCUGAAAUCUAGUGGCGAGCUCGCUAGGACCCCGAGCGUAGUAGUUAUAUCUCGUUCUGGAAGGCCCUGGCGGUGCCCUGCCGUUAAACCCCCAACUUCUGAAAUUUUGACCUCGGAUCAGGUAGGAAUACCCGCUGAACUUAAGCAUAUCAUUAAAGCGAGAGGAAAGGGGAACCCCUCGGCCCACAACCUUUGGAAAAAAAAAAGGGGCUCGAAAGGGGCUUGGGCCGAAAAGGAAGCCGGGACAACUGUUUUAAUUUAAAACAUAGGAGAAAUCCAGAACUGGCUUGCCAAAACAA
rnacentral:rRNA from 1 species